GCUUUACAUUUUGGUGACCUGGAACUAACACAGACAGUUGUUAUUAUGGCUAACUACAUCAAGAUUUCUUUGCAAUUGGUUUUGGUGCUUCUUUACUUUGGUUGGCCAUCACUUCAGUGCGAGUCGAGGAGUGUUUAGGUGGAUUGGAAUUCAGUCUAGUUAUGGUAGAUUUGCUUUCAGUCCGAUUGGUAUGUUUUGUUAUAUGUAGUGUGUGUCUCUUUUGAUUUUCAUUUUGGCUGAUUGAAAUCUGUGAUUGUAUAUCUGUCAAUCAGAGAAGCACUAAAUUGUGAACUGUUGAAAAUCAGCAUUGUGUUUGCUUACUGUGACCAUGUCCGAUAACUUUCAGGUGGAAUUCAACAUCGACAGAUCCAAAGCAGUUCUGAGCGUUCAACACGUAGAUACCUCUGUCUUUAUGUUUGACUGCAUUGAUUUCCAAGUUGAUUGUUGGUUGUGGAGAACCUGUUACUUUGUAGUGAAUGACUGCUUGAUGUCCAACCUGUACUUCAAAAUGAUUGGAGGAUUCAAGGUCAAAAGUGACAGCAGGUAUGGGAACAAAGAAAUGAUCUAUACAAACUGAUUGCUGACAAAGGUCAAUCAAUUUGAAUCUGUGAUAAUUUUAUGCAUGCAAGGGUGGAGACAGUUUCACUCUCAUGACAAUGGCCUCCAUCAGUACAUUUGUUGCUCUUCUGCUUGCCUGAGAGUGAUGGUAGCAUAAGGUGCGGUGUACGUAAACGAGCAAGUACAUGAAUCUGCUCGUGCAAGCAGAACUCGGAAACAUUUCAUGUGAGCAGAAAACAUGUAGAACGAGUCGUACAACGAACAUGCAGAAACUGGUAUAUUUACUUAUGCAGCAAACACAAGUACAUACUUCCAAC